AAGGGUAUAGCUCAAGUGGUAGAGCGCAUGCUUAGCAUGCAUGAGGUCCUGGGUUCAAGCCCCAGUACCUCCA
rnacentral:tRNA from 1 species